CAUGCAGUCGAGCGGUAGAGAGAAGCUUGCUUCUCUUGAGAGCGGCGGACGGGUGAGUAAUGCCUAGGAAUCUGCCUGGUAGUGGGGGAUAACGUUCGGAAACGGACGCUAAUACCGCAUACGUCCUACGGGAGAAAGCAGGGGACCUUCGGGCCUUGCGCUAUCAGAUGAGCCUAGGUCGGAUUAGCUAGUUGGUGAGGUAAUGGCUCACCAAGGCGACGAUCCGUAACUGGUCUGAGAGGAUGAUCAGUCACACUGGAACUGAGACACGGUCCAGACUCCUACGGGAGGCAGCAGUGGGGAAUAUUGGACAAUGGGCGAAAGCCUGAUCCAGCCAUGCCGCGUGUGUGAAGAAGGUCUUCGGAUUGUAAAGCACUUUAAGUUGGGAGGAAGGGCAGUUACCUAAUACGUGAUUGUUUUGACGUUACCGACAGAAUAAGCACCGGCUAACUCUGUGCCAGCAGCCGCGGUAAUACAGAGGGUGCAAGCGUUAAUCGGAAUUACUGGGCGUAAAGCGCGCGUAGGUGGUUUGUUAAGUUGGAUGUGAAAUCCCCGGGCUCAACCUGGGAACUGCAUUCAAAACUGACUGACUAGAGUGUGGUAGAGGGUGGUGGAAUUUCCUGUGUAGCGGUGAAAUGCGUAGAUAUAGGAAGGAACACCAGUGGCGAAGGCGACCACCUGGACCAACACUGACACUGAGGUGCGAAAGCGUGGGGAGCAAACAGGAUUAGAUACCCUGGUAGUCCACGCCGUAAACGAUGUCAACUAGCCGUUGGGAGCCUUGAGCUCUUAGUGGCGCAGCUAACGCAUUAAGUUGACCGCCUGGGGAAGUACNGCCGCAAGGUUAAAACUCAAAUGAAUUGACGGGGG
rnacentral:rRNA from 1 species